CCUACGGGAGGCAGCAGUAGGGAAUAUUGGGCAAUGGAGGCAACUCUGACCCAGCCAUGCCGCGUGCAGGAUGAAGGCGUUAUGCGUUGUAAACUGCUUUUAUAUAGGAAGAAAUAGACCUUGCGAGGUAAGUUGACGGUACUAUAUGAAUAAGCACCGGCUAACUCCGUGCCAGCAGCCGCGGUAAUACGGAGGGUGCAAGCGUUGUCCGGAUUUAUUGGGUUUAAAGGGUGCGUAGGCGGUUUAUUAAGUCAGUGGUGAAAGACGGUCGCUCAACGAUUGCAGUGCCAUUGAUACUGGUAGACUUGAGUGUGAUUGAGGUAGCUGGAAUGGAUAGUGUAGCGGUGAAAUGCAUAGAUAUUAUCCAGAACACCAAUUGCGUAGGCAAGUUACUAAGUCACAACUGACGCUGAGGCACGAAAGUGUGGGUAUCAAACAGGAUUAGAUACCCUGGUAGUCCACACUGUAAACGAUGAUAACUAACUGUUGGCUUUUGGGUCAGUGGUACAGAGAAAUCGUUAAGUUAUCCACGNGGUAAGGUAGCGCGACGUAGAAGUUAGAAGAGAGUUGNGNGNGAGNGCGACGACGACGACGAGGAGGAGGAG
rnacentral:rRNA from 1 species